rnacentral:rRNA from 1 species
GACGAACGCUGGCGGCGUGCUUAACACAUGCAAGUCGAACGGAAAGGCCCUGCUUGCAGGGUACUCGAGUGGCGAACGGGUGAGUAACACGUGGGUGAUCUGCCCUGCACUUCGGGAUAAGCCUGGGAAACUGGGUCUAAUACCGGAUAGGAGCCAUUUUUAGUGUGAUGGUUGGAAAGUUUUUUCGGUGUAGGAUGAGCUCGCGGCCUAUCAGCUCGUUGGUGGGGUAAUGGCCUACCAAGGCGGCGACGGGUAGCCGGCCUGAGAGGGUGGACGGCCACAUUGGGACUGAGAUACGGCCCAGACUCCUACGGGAGGCAGCAGUGGGGAAUAUUGCACAAUGGGCGCAAGCCUGAUGCAGCGACGCCGCGUGGGGGAUGACGGCCUUCGGGUUGUAAACUCCUUUCGCUAGGGACGAAGCUUUUUGUGACGGUACCUAGAUAAGAAGCACCGGCUAACUACGUG